GGUCUGGUGGUGUAGUGGUUACACACCCCCUCUUCAUAGUAGCUUACUCGACAUUGUACAUGUGGGAGUUCCUUGUUCGACUCAAGGCCAGGCCA